UGUAUCUUGUAUUUUAAUUCACACCCUUCAAAAAGUGUAAAUAUUGUCGGAUCAUUGGCGCUAAUCAUUAAUUCCAAAAGUUCAAGCCGUUAGUAAUACGCAAUCAAUUCAAUUAAAUUGUACAGACAUAAUGCCUAUGGGUUUCGAUUGUGACUCGGCUGAAUUCAGCCUCCCGCCAUUUCGAACAUAAUUUGAUCCAACGAAAUCUCCCACCACAAAAAAAAUAUUGCCCCCUUUUUUUUUAGUUUAAAGAAUUAAAAGCCCCAAAGAAAAACAUAUAUUUUGGCUUGAUUAUCAAUUUGUAAGUCAAUGUCUCCGGCUUGAGAUUUUUUUUUUUUUUUUUUAGAAGAAGAUAAAAUACUAUUUGUUUUGUUCAAUUUUUUUUAGAAAUGAAUUUAGCUGAAAAUGUAAAGCAUGCAACUAGGUAGGCUUCGGAU
rnacentral:lncRNA from 1 species